CAACGAGAAAUCAGCCGCAAAUACGACAAACUCGGCACGUGCACUUCUUUUUUUGUGAUGAAACCCUAAUUAAAUUUUAAUCCUCUAUUUGCGACAAUUCACUAUUUUACUAUUUUAGUUAUUUUUUAAGACUAUACGAGACUUUUCUGUUGGUGGGAUAAGCGCAGAUAAGCCACCACCGUCCGAAGGAGACAGCCCCCCGUCAAACGCAAUAUUUAAACGGAGGAAGGUGUAAUAAGAAAUUAAAUCAACUAUCUCUUUAGAAAUAGAGAAAGGGAUCCCUUUUUACUUUAACUUCGAGGCGUUGCCCUUGGACAGAUUGGAGGUCAACCAGAACUUGCUCAAAAGACAGAAAGCACUCAUCCCCACAACGGACGACGACGGGGUCAGAUUUCAAGAGUUUCCCCAGAACCCACGCGUCACGUCAAAAUUUGAAGAUGGAAACUUUCAUGGCAAAUGGAUUGAGGCACGCCAGCGGUGGGACUCCCGAGACGUUGCACUUGGACGGGAUGCCAGAGGUCGCUGAUACGCCCCAGAACGGCCUCGUCCCCUCAACAGACACCGGAGAAGAAAGUCUUCAAGAAGCCGGACUUCUUCCUCCUCCUCCUCACCCCGUCCAACCACGUGCCGAUAACCAAGCCAAGUCGCCUUUAGCCAGCAGCAGGUCAUCAAAAAAAGCCAAGAAAUUACCACAGAAACUUCGCAGAAAACGUGGUCGUCGCGCCGUGAAGAAGAAGGAAAUCUUCCCCUGCAUAAUCUGCCUUUGUCCCUUCACCAACAAGUCUAGCGCGUACCUCCACGAACGCACCCACCUCUCCCACGACGAGCGGAUGCGGGGGCCAAUUUUCCAUGCUAACUGUCCCCACUGCAAAAAACUCUUCCUCCGUCGUCGCGACUUUGAGCGGCAUCUUUUCACCCACAUGAGUGGAGUGGAACGCGCCGUGGUGCAGCAGGGAUGGCGACACGCCUGCUACUUCUGCAACAAACUAUUCCAAAGUCCAUCCCACCUCGGUCGUCACAUUGUCGUCCACACGGGGGAAAAGCUGUGCGAGAGUUGUACCGAUUGUGGAAAAAUGUUCGCCUCCAAACAAAGCUUGACCCGCCAUCGUGCUUUCGCCCAUCUCAGCAAAGAGGAGAAAAUUGCACUCUCAGAACGGCCUGGGACUCGAGUGUGUCUCUUCUGUGGGAAGAAAUUCCUUGAUAACCAUCGUUAUCAAGAGCACCUCGUCUCCCACACGGAGGAGAAACCCUUCCCCUGCGACCAAUGUGGACAGCGGUUCGCUCGUAAUUAUGGCUUGAAGGUGCACAAGCGCCUUCACUCCGCGGAUCCGCGACCCUUCCAGUGCCCCGAGUGCGACCGGGCGUUCACUCAAGAGGGAAAUCUGCUCCUGCAUGUGAAGACAGUUCACGGGAAGGUGAAGGACGUCGUCGCGUGUCCCCAAUGCGCCAAGAAGUUCGGGAGGAAAUGUGACAUGGUGACACAUUUGAGAAGCGUUCAUCUCCAAAUUCGGCACCCCUGCCCUCACUGUGGUCACUCGUUCACGCAGAAAAGCAGUCUUAGAACGCAUCUAAAGAAAGUUCAUGGCUUGGAAUGAAGUUCUUCAGCUGAUCAGCUGACCCCUCGACUUAAUAUGUUUCCCAAACUUUAUGCAUUUUUAUAUUUCCUAAUUUCGCAUGACGACAUGUGUAAUGUUAUUUUUUAUUCUCAUAGGGCUGAUGUAAUUAUUCUCAUAAACGGAUACAUUUGAGGAAGGUUUAUCCUUUAGAAUAAAGUCCUCCUCCUCCUAAACAGCGUCCCAUCAAGUGUCCUUGUCUAUAGUUUAUACUUUAUAUUUCUCUGAUUUCACCUUUGUCAAAAGAUAAUUAUUCUUGUACGACUGUUUUACUUUAUCAAUGUAAUUAAUGUCCUCCUAAACAGCGUCCCAGCAACUGACCACGUGUCGUCCAUAAAUACUUUGUGUUUUUGCAUUUUCCUCAUUUCAGAAUUGUGAUAAGAUGUUAUUCUCAUACGAUUGAUACAAAUUGCUACAUAGUUUAAUCAUUAAUUUGUAAACAUGCCACAAUGUUUGCUACCUUUUUGACCAUUAUUUAUCACACAAUUUCAAUCCAAACAAGUUUAUUUAUUUAAGUUUAAAGUCAAUUUGUACAAUAUAAAUUACACCUUUACUCAUUACGAAUUACGGUUAAUCAAUCAUACAGAAAUUAAUUUGGUGUAGUUAAAAACUCGUAUUUCCAGGUACAUACAUUCAUACGUUUUAAUGGAGGUCUAACGGUUAAAAAAAAUGUCGCUCUUUAAAAAUAUUGCAAAUUUUGUAUUUUCAUAUAAAAUCGUAUUCUCAAUUAAUUUCAGGGGAAGUUAAAUAAA